CAGUAGCCGCGGUAAUACGGAGGGGGCAAGCGUUAUCCGGAAUUAUUGGGCGUAAAGGGUACGUAGGUGGCCUUUUAAGCGUAGGGUAUAAGGCAAUGGCUCAACCAUUGUUCGCCCUAUGAACUGGAAGGCUUGAGUGCAGGAGAGGAAAGCGGAAUUCCUAGUGUAGCGGUGGAAUGCAUAGAUAUUAGGAGGAACAUCAGCGGCGAAGGCGGCUUUCUGGACUGCAACUGACACUGAGGUACGAAAGCGUGGGGAGCAAACAGGAUUAGAUACCCGCGUAGUCCCUGUCUCUUAUACA
rnacentral:rRNA from 1 species